CCCCUCUCAGGUUCUCAUUUGGAGAGUUUCCAGUACUCUACCAGUCUCGAUAUUGGAGGGAGAGUCAGACAGAGGCAUACCCAUUUCAUUUCUAGCUUAGACAGUGGCUAGCAAGUGGAAGGCAAUCUGCUACAAUU